rnacentral:rRNA from 1 species
UACGGAGGGUGCGAGCGUUAUCCGGAUUCACUGGGUUUAAAGGGUGCGUAGGCGGGCUGUUAAGUCAGUGGUGAAAUCAGCGGGCUCAACCUGCUAACUGCCAUUGAUACUGACAGUCUUGGAUGAGAGGGAGGCAGGCGGAAUAUUGCAUGUAGCGGUGAAAUGCUUAGAUAUGCAAUGGAACACCGAUUGCGAAGGCAGCUUGCUACUUCUUGAUCGACGCUGAGGCACGAAAGCGUGGGGAGCGAACAGGAUUAGAUACCCUGGUAGUCCACGCCCUAAACGAUGAUUACUCGACAUUGGCGAUAUACGGAUCAGUGUCUGAGCGAAAGCGUUAAGUAAUCCACCUGGGGAGUACGCCGGCAACGGUGAA